rnacentral:rRNA from 1 species
UGGGGAAUAUUGCACAAUGGGCGCAAGCCUGAUGCAGCGACGCCGCGUGGGGGAUGACGGCCUUCGGGUUGUAAACUCCUUUCGCUAUGGACGAAGCUUUUUGUGACGGUACCUAGAUAAGAAGCACCGGCUAACUACGUGCCAGCAGCCGCGGUAAUACGUAGGGUGCGAGCGUUGUCCGGAAUUACUGGGCGUAAAGGGCUCGUAGGUGGUUUGUCGCGUCGUCUGUGAAAUUCCGGGGCUUAACUCCGGGCGUGCAGGCGAUACGGGCAUAACUUGAGUACUGUAGGGGUAACUGGAAUUCCUGGUGUAGCGGUGAAAUGCGCAGAUAUCAGGAGGAACACCGAUGGCGAAGGCAGGUUACUGGGCAGUUACUGACGCUGAGGAGCGAAAGCAUGGGUAGCGAACAGG